GACGAACGCUGGCGGCGUGCUUAACACAUGCAAGUCGAACGGAAAGGCCCUGCUUUUGUGGGGUGCUCGAGUGGCGAACGGGUGAGUAACACGUGAGUAACCUGUCCUUGACUUUGGGAUAACUUCAGGAAACUGGGGCUCAUACCGGAUAGGAUCUCCUGCUGCAUGGUGGGGGUUGGAAAGUUUCGGCGUUUGUGGAUGGACUCGCGGCUUAUCAGCUUGUUGGUGGGGUAGUGGCUUACCAAGGCUUUGACGGGUAGCCGGCCUGAGAGGGUGACCGGCCACAUUGGGACUGAGGUAGGGCCCAGACUGCUACGGGAGGCAGCAGGGGAGAAUAUUGCACAAUGGGCGGAAGGCUGAUGCAGCAACGCCGCGUUCGGGAUAACGGCCUUCGGGUUGUAAACCACUUUCGCCUGUGACGAAGCGUGAGUGACGGUAAUGGGUAAAGAAGCACCGGCUAACUACGUG
rnacentral:rRNA from 1 species